CUCCAGCAGACCCUCCCUCCCAGACCCUCCUACUUCCUGGACUUCAACAUGGAUGCUGUCCAGGAAGUAGGAGGGUCUGGGAGGGAGGGUCUGCUGGAG